UACGGAGGGUGCAAACGUUGCUCGGAAUCAUUGGGCGUAAAGCGCACGUAGGCGGUCCGUUAAGUCGGGUGUGAAAUCCCUCGGCUCAACCGAGGAAGGGCAUCCGAAACUGACGGGCUUGAGUACGGAAGAGGGUCUCGGAAUUCCCGGUGUAGCGGUGAAAUGCGCAGAUAUCGGGAAGAACACCCGUGGCGAAGGCGGUUCUCUGGGACGGUACUGACGCUGAGACGCGAAAGCGUGGGAGCGAACAGG
rnacentral:rRNA from 1 species